rnacentral:rRNA from 1 species
UACGUAGGGUGCGAGCGUUGUCCGGAAUUAUUGGGCGUAAAGAGCUUGUAGGCGGUUUGUCGCGUCUGCCGUGAAAAUUCGAGGCUCAACCUCGAACUUGCGGUGGGUACGGGCAGGCUAGAGUUCGGCAGGGGAGACUGGAAUUCCUGGUGUAGCGGUGAAAUGCGCAGAUAUCAGGAGGAACACCGGUGGCGAAGGCGGGUCUCUGGGCCGAUACUGACGCUGAGGAGCGAAAGCGUGGGGAGCGAACAGG